UCCAGACUCCUACGGGAGGCAGCAGUGAGGAAUAUUGGUCAAUGGGCUAAGGCCUGAACCAGCCAAGUCGCGUGAGGGAAGACGGUCCUAUGGAUUGUAAACCUCUUUUGUCGGGGAGCAACGAGGCCACGUGUGGCCGAAGUGAGAGUACCCGAAGAAAAAGCAUCGGCUAACUCCGUGCCAGCAGCCGCGGUAAUACGGAGGAUGCGAGCGUUAUCCGGAUUUAUUGGGUUUAAAGGGUGCGCAGGCGGAAUGUCAAGUCAGCGGUAAAAUUUCGGGGCUCAACCCCGUCGUGCCGUUGAAACUGGCGUUCUUGAGUGAGCGAGAAGUAUGCGGAAUGCGUGGUGUAGCGGUGAAAUGCAUAGAUAUCACGCAGAACUCCGAUUGCGAAGGCAGCAUACCGGCGCUCAACUGACGCUCAUGCACGAAAGCGUGGGUAUCGAACAGGAUUAGAUACCCGGGUAC
rnacentral:rRNA from 1 species